rnacentral:lncRNA from 1 species
GGAAGCCAGCUGGAAAUACAACAAAACGCCUCUCCCGCUCCUUUAGCAAAACAUGUGUCAGAGCAACGCAAGAUUUGAUUGGGACUGCUUUACUUCGUUAACAAUUACAGCAGGAGUAGGGCUGAUUGGAGCCAUUGUACAGUGUCGGGAACAUACCAGGACACUGAGAAUAGUGUCAUGUCAUAAGGACCCAGAGCAGAUGGACCCUGCUGUGAUGCACAAAGAGGACCACGCAAGAUAUGAUAAAGAUCUACAUCACUGAAUUUUGGUUCCAUUUUUGUAUCUCAGCUUCCAGGAAAUAAAAAAGAAUUCUAACAUUCAUACUUUCAGUAUUUUAUGUGAGAGGUUUUGUUGUCAAAAUCAAGUCUGAGAGCAAUGUUUGUUGGGGCCUUUAAUUGGAGUCACCAAGCGAUAAAGGGGACAUUGUCCUCAACAAUAACCCUAUAAUAAACACGUUUUGGACAAUAAAUAUAUGACAAUUUCUUAAAAGCAAUUUCUUGGGCAAUCAAGACAGUAUGGCUUGAGUAUGGAGUUAUACGAUGGUUUGGAUUAAUCCAGUAUUAAAUCUUUGGUUAUUACAGAAAUCAAUGGAGCCU